GGCCCAGACUCCUACGGGAGGCAGCAGUGAGGAAUAUUGGUCAAUGGCCGAGAGGCUGAACCAGCCAAGUCGCGUGAGGGAAGACGGCCCUACGGGUUGUAAACCUCUUUUGUCGGGGAGCAAGGAGAGUCACGUGUGACUCAUUGAGAGUACCCGAAGAAAAAGCAUCGGCUAACUCCGUGCCAGCAGCCGCGGUAAUACGGAGGAUGCGAGCGUUAUCCGGAUUUAUUGGGUUUAAAGGGUGCGCAGGCGGGGGUGAAAGUCAGCGGUGAAAUGUCGGGGCUCAACCCCGGCCUGCCGUUGAAACUGGCGGCCUCGAGUGGGCGAGAAGUAUGCGGAAUGCGUGGUGUAGCGGUGAAAUGCAUAGAUAUCGCGCAGAACUCCGAUUGCGAAGGCAGCAUGCCGGCGCCACACUGACGCUGAGGCACGAAAGCGUGGGUAUCGAACAGGAUUAGAUACCCGCGUAUU
rnacentral:rRNA from 1 species